rnacentral:rRNA from 1 species
UAAAGUCUAAUCUGCCCACUGAUAUAAUAUUAAAGGGCUGCAGUAUUUUGACUGUACAAAGGUAGCAUAAUCAUUAGUCUUUUAAUUGAAGACUUGUAUGAAWGAUUGGAUGAAAUAUAAACUGUCUCUAAUAUUAUUAGUUAGAAUUUAAUUUUUUUAUUAAAAAGUAAAAAUAAAUUUAAAAGACGAGAAGACCCUAUAGAGUUUUAUAAUUAAUUUAAUUGAAAUUAUUUAUAAAGAUAAUUUUAAAUUAAUAAAUUAAAAUUAAGUUAAUUAUUUUGUUGGGGUGAUAAAAAAAUAAAAAUAACUUUUUUUAAUAAAUAUAUAUAUAUAUAUAUAUAUAUAUAUAUAUAUAUAUUGUAAACAAAAAUAAAUGAUUUUUUGAUCCAGAAUUUUUGAUUAUAAGAAAAAAUUACCUUAGGGAUAACAGCGUAAUUUUUUUUUUUAGUUCAAAUAARAAAAAGAGUUUGCGACCUCGAUGUUGGAUUAAGGAAAAAUUUAAAUGCAAAAGUUUAAAAUUUUG